GUCUACAGCCAUGCUACCCUGAACAAGCCCAAUCCCGUCUGAUCUCGGAAGCUAAGAAGGGUUGGGCCUGGUUGGUACUUGGAUGGGAGACCACCUAGGAAGACCAGGUGCUGUAGGCA
rnacentral:rRNA from 1 species